rnacentral:lncRNA from 1 species
AUGAUGCAGUGUGGUGACUUCAGGACUUUUCUUUUUGAGGCCAUUUCCAGAACAGACAGGCGUAAGUUCAUAAGCGACGACCAGCGGGACCUCGGAGCUCCUCUCAGCCAGCAGCGGCUCAUCCACAACUCCUCUGCCCCGUUUAGUCACGAAGAUGAAGUGCUCCAGGUUGAAACCUCCCAGCCGCCGACCUCUCAGUCUGAGUUGAGAACUGGCUCUGGCUUAGACGAUCCUCAGACAGCCCAGAAGCAUGCUGGGAUUCAGGCAGAGGAGUUUUCCCAGGCUCACAAGCAAAAACAAACUUACUUCAACGCUCCUAACCUUCAUGAUGCAGCGUGUCUGUCACAAGUCCAAAGAAAAUAUACCAGAAACACAGCAGAGAACUUUGCUUCAGAGUGUGGAAAUAAGCAGUCAGCCUGUGAACCAACAGCCUUUGGUAGCGAAGGGGAAGAAGAAGAUAAGAGUGAAAGGAGAAGCUGUGCUGAUGAAGCCACAGAGAAGCGUCAGAUGAGGCCAACAGCUCUAAACCCGUGUGGUGCUGCGUCAGUGCAUCAGAGGAAACAGUCCCUCCACACGGACGGCCCACAAGUCUCCACACCAAAACAUUGUAGCUCUGCAUGUGAAUCUAUGCAGGGUUUCAACAUUUGCCCCCGUUACAGAGAAAGCAGUAAUUUCCCAGGGGUCCGGACAAAUCAGGAAGUUAUUGUUAGCUUUAAAGCAUCAAAGGACCACAUAGAAGAAGUCUCUGGCCUAAACAUGGAAACUAGAUCCACUGGCUGUGCAGAAACAACAACACAGUUUCAUCUUUGCCGCUGCUGCGAGUCAAGAGCAAGAAGCAGCGUCAGCCCGACCGGGGUCAAAGGUCAUAAACCAGCUACGACAGCAUCGUGUUGUCAGGCUCCAGUUCCACUGAACCACAGCACAGCUUCCGUCCAGGCCGUUACCAGAAGCAGUGGGAGUAGUUGGAAGGAUGGAGACAAGCCACCCUCCCUGUGUCACCAGUUUCCCAAAGACCCCCCCCCCUCCUUCAUGCUGCGGCCUUCAGGACUGUGA